GAUGAACGCUGGCGGCGUGCCUAAUACAUGCAAGUCGAGCGAACGGACGAGAAGCUUGCUUCUCUGAUGUUAGCGGCGGACGGGUGAGUAACACGUGGAUAACCUACCUAUAAGACUGGGAUAACUUCGGGAAACCGGAGCUAAUACCGGAUAAUAUUUUGAACCGCAUGGUUCAAAAGUGAAAGACGGUCUUGCUGUCACUUAUAGAUGGAUCCGCGCUGCAUUAGCUAGUUGGUAAGGUAACGGCUUACCAAGGCAACGAUGCAUAGCCGACCUGAUAGGCUGAUCGGCCACACUAGAACUGAGACACGGUCCAGACUCCUGCGAGAGGCAGCAGUAUGAAAUCUUCCGCAAUGGGCGAAAGCCUGACGGAGCAACGCCGCGUGAGUGAUGAAGGUCUUCGGAUCGUAAAACUCUGUUAUUAGGGAAGAACAUAUGUGUAAGUAACUGUGCACAUCUUGACGGUACCUAAUCAGAAAGCCACGGCUAACUACGUG
rnacentral:rRNA from 1 species